AUUGCUCGCCAGGGAUCACUUCUGUCUCGCAGGCCAAAGUCAUCGUCAUGACGAACGAGAGCUCCUUUCUUCACCUCUGUCGGACACGUUCUCAUGUCUUUACCAUCUCCUUCUUAGCCACUAACGAACAUCAUAUAUGAACACUAACCCUUGCAGACUGUGGAACUUUCUUAUCUGCAAUAAUACCCUUCAACCUCCUUAUCAUAAUUCUAACUUAUCACCUCCUUAGUAUAAAAAUGACAUUAUGUUAGAUCAAUGUGUAUAUAUUAAUAAUAAAAUAAACUAAUAAAUCAUUCAAAAUCAAAUCAAAUCGAACCAACUUCAUUGUUAAACUUGGAUUCUUAUAAAAAAAUGUCAUCUUCAAAAUAAUAAUAAAAAAUAUAUCUUUUCUCAAAAUAAGUCAUGUGAGUGGCUAAAAAUUAUCAAUUGAAAUUAAUUUAUUACGAGCUUAUAUACUAAAAUAUGAUCAAUAAAUAAUAUUUUUUAUCAAACGUAGCAUUAAGUUUAAAUUAAUUAAAAUUUUUAAUUUUAAUUUUUGGAUUGAGUUAUUUGGAUAUUUAUUUGAGUAAUUGAGUUUAGUUGUGUAGGGGUAUUGGAAUUUGAAUAUUAAAUAUUUAAUUAUUUUGGCAAGCAUAUGGAUAUAUAAAUUUAGAGUUUUAAUCAAGAUAUUUAAAAAAAAGAAGGAAAUUGGUGGAAUAAAUCAUGGAAGGCGAUUACUUAUGGGAGAUAAAGUGAAAAAUCAGCUAAACCAAUUUAUUUGAAUUAAAUCAAUUUGAUUCCUUAGAAAUCAAGGCUGAAGUGGACGAAGUAACGAAGCUGGGGGCUGACACAACUUACUGCUUUUGGUUUUGGCUUUGUAUUGUGG
rnacentral:lncRNA from 1 species